UUGUGGGUGAGUGAGUGAUCCUGUACUGUCGAGAAAAGCCUCUAGCGAUGUGUGUGUAUGGCCCGUACCCUAAACCGACACAGGUGGUCAGGUAGAGAAUACCAAGGCGCUUGAGAGAACUCGGGUGAAGGAACUAGGCAAAAUGGUGCCGUAACUUCGGGAGAAGGCACGCUGGCGCG
rnacentral:rRNA from 1 species